rnacentral:rRNA from 1 species
CACGUAGGGUGCGAGCGUUGUCCGGAAUUAUUGGGCGUAAAGGGCUCGUAGGCGGUUUGUCGCGUCGGGAGUGAAAACUCAGGGCUUAACCCUGAGCCUGCUUCCGAUACGGGCAGACUAGAGGUAUGCAGGGGAGAACGGAAUUCCUGGUGUAGCGGUGAAAUGCGCAGAUAUCAGGAAGAACACCCGUGGCGAAAGCGGCUCUCUGGAACGGUACUGACGCUGAGACGCGAAAGCGUGGGGAGCGAACAGG